rnacentral:rRNA from 1 species
GUCGCCUCCUAAAAGGUAACGGAGGCGCUCAAAGGUUCCCUCAGAAUGGUUGGAAAUCAUUCAUAGAGUGUAAAGGCAUAAGGGAGCUUGACUGCGAGACCUACAAGUCGAGCAGGGUCGAAAGACGGACUUAGUGAUCCGGUGGUUCCGCAUGGAAGGGCCAUCGCUCAACGGAUAAAAGCUACCCCGGGGAUAACAGGCUUAUCUCCCCCAAGAGUUCACAUCGACGGGGAGGUUUGGCACCUCGAUGUCGGCUCAUCGCAUCCUGGGGCUGUAGUCGGUCCCAAGGGUUGGGCUGUUCGCCCAUUAAAGCGGUACGCGAGCUGGGUUCAGAACGUCGUGAGACAGUUCGGUCCCUAUCCGUCGUGGGCGUAGGAAAUUUGAGAGGAGCUGUCCUUAGUACGAGAGGACCGGGAUGGACAUACCUCUGGUGUACCAGUUGUCGUGCCAACGGCAUAGCUGGGUAGCUAUGUGUGGACGGGAUAAGUGCUGAAAGCAUCUAAGCAUGAAGCCCCCCUCAAGAUGAGAUUUCCCAACUUCGGUUAUAAGAUCCCUCAAAGAUGAUGAGGUUAAUAGGUUCGAGGUGGAAGCAUGGUGACAUGUGGAGCUGACGAAUACUAAUCGAUCGAAGACUUAAU